CCCACUCUAAUAGUUUAUAAAAACA
rnacentral:tRNA from 1 species